AUGCCAGACGCAACGUUGAAUGAUCCACUGUCUUGUCUCUUUGUGUGGAACAUGGAAAAGGUAAGAGGAUUCUCCUAGUUUUCGACUACCAAUUUUGCAGCUUCUACCCCAGAGACGGUUUACAACAGCAUGUGUAAGACCACCCGAAGGAGCAGAACAGCGAUGAAAUUGCCCAAUCACAUAUUCUCCUACAUUUUCAGGGCCAAGCUGAAGUACCUUAGUUGGAAUGAUGAUCUCAGGAGUGCCAUCAAGUCUGAAAGUUGGUCUGGAAGCACGAUACAAGUUCCUCAUAGCCAGGUUCAUCCUUGCAGCCCAUGGAAAGCGGAGUGAACCAUCUUCCUUUAGUUCUGGAGGCGGCAACUGUGUAACUGGGAGGUUCGGUGAAGAAGGUACUUUCAGCGAAGAUUUCUUUUUCUUAAAGUUGGUACUUUCAUCCAGUGAAGGCCAAAAUUUCUCACUGGAAGCACGAUACAAGUUCCUCGUAGCCGGGUUCAUCCUUGCAGCCCAUGGAAAGCGGAGUGAACCAUCUUCCUUUAGUUCUGGAGGCGGCAACUGUGUAACUGGGAAGUUCGCUGAAGAAGGUACUUUCAGCGAAGAUUUCUUCUUCUUAAAGUUGGUACUUUCAUCCAGUGAAGGCCAAAAUUUCUCAAUCUGGCUCUGCACCAAGUGUGGAUCAUAGUUGCAAGGCGUUGAUGGCUCAGGUGGUGUACAAGGAGAAGGGAACUUUAGAACAAGUGGCUUUGACCAUGCUCCCAUUGAAGGUACGAAUAGUGAUGGUUCUUCUUCCAUAGUAUCUUCUGUUUGGUGAGGAAUAUCUAGUUGUGUUUGAGGAGCCUCAAGAGGAACAACAUCAAAGAUCUCGUCGUUACAGUGAAAGGGCGGAGGAGCUGUGGUCGACAAAGGAGCAACAGAGUUGUGGUCAGCAAUUCCGACAGAGUCGUGGUUGUUGUUAUUGCUUUGCGACGGAGGAGUUGUGGUCGACGAAGGAGCAGUGGAGCCAUGGUUGUUGUUGCAGGGCAGCGAAUCUUUCUUUCGGAAAGGUGGAAUCUCUGGCAAAUCCAUGGAAAUUUAAACAGAGACAGAUUGGAUGAGUGAAGCACAAAGAUAACAGUGUCGUGGUUGUUGUUAUUGCUUUGCGACGGAGGAGUUGUGGUCGACGGAGGAGUUGUGGUCGACGAAGGAGCAGUGGAGCCAUGGUUGUUGUUGCAGGGCAGCGAAUCUUUCUUUCGGAAAGGUGGAAUCUCUGGCAAAUCCAUGGAAAUUUAAACAGAGACAGAUUGGAUGAGUGAAGCACAAAGAUUGAGGAUUGGAUUUGAUCCACCGUAGCAGAGGAGAAGGCAGAGCAAGAGAGCCAACGGCGGAGCCGCCGUGAAAAAAGCAACGAAGUUUUCUUCUAGGGUUGUCUCGAUAAAUGGGCCUGAGAGCGUUUUUUUUUUUUUUUUUUUUUUUUAAGGUAUUUCUG
rnacentral:lncRNA from 1 species